AGCUGCCGUCAGUAUCAGCAAGCAUCGGGGCGUACAUUCAGUGUGAGGAGACUCAGCAAGACACCAGUGCUAAGAUACACAGAGGUCCACAGAUACACACCGAGUCCCAGAGCUUCACACAAAGUUCUGAAAACUUCUGCUAGAGGCUAUGUAAAUUGUUAAGACUACAGAGCACCAGAAUACCAGGACACAUUCCUAGGAGGCAAGACUUGGGCACCCAGGUAACAACCCCAGGGCAAGUUCACAUGGAGCCAUCCCAGAGCACAGACUGGCUUUGCUGUCUUCAUUCACUCCUCCUGUUUAAGUGAGGAGCAGCCUGAGGCCACUAGGAAAAUGCCAAAAUGAAGGUGGGCUCCAGGCCAAAAGGAGGGAAUGACCCACAUCUUGACCACAUGGCGAUGGUGGAGAUGGCCAAGGCAAUGAAGCUUCUUGUCAGGUGGCAGUAACUGGCAGCUCUCCACGCCUUGAUCUCAAGGUUACAUCCUCUCGAAGGAAUGAUGAUGGCAGCCAGAAAGAGAGCCUUGAAGCGGAAAGCUGGAACUUUGGGGCUGGAUGGGGCUCCACAGCAGCUGUCCUGCAGAUGGAGAAGAGCCUUUAAGUCUUGAGUUUAUAUUUCUAGAAAAGCUCCCUUCCCCCAAUCCCUCUCUGCUCUCUUUCCCUCUCUUGCUGUAUUAUGGGGUUUUUGUGAGGUUUAGAAAAAUAAACAGAA